rnacentral:sRNA from 1 species
UAAAAGCAUAUUGCCGAAGACAGCAGGUGCCCAUCAGGGCAUAAUCGCAAAGAGCCUGCCGAGGGAUUUUGAAGAUUUUAUCUUUUAAAAAUGAUGAUUACCUCUCUGUCUUUGGGCAGAGAGGUUUUUU